GGAGGGUCCAUGGACCUCAUCUGCAAAGGCUCCGGCUGCACCUUCAGCAGCUUCGGGAUGGAGUGGGUCCGUCAGGAGCCCCAGAAGGGCCUCGAGUACGUCGCGGGGAUCGAGAAAGGGGGUUCCACCUCCUACGCGCCGUCGGUCAAGGGGCGCUUCACCAUCUCCAGGGACAACGGCCAGAGCACGGUGACGCUGCGGAUGACCAACCUGAAGGCCGAGGACACGGCCACCUACUACUGCGCCAAAGGUGCUUAUAGUGGUGGUGGUGAUGGUGAUGGUGGUCCCACCAGUGUCAACACUCGCGAUGUAUUUGAGGCCACCAAAGACCCUUCCAGGACCCUCAGAACCCCUCUGGAUCCCCCCAGGACCAUUCUGGGUUCCUCAGGACCUCCUGGAGAAUCUCCUGGGACCCCUCAAGGACCCCCCAGAACCCCUCUAUGA